CUUGUACACACCGCCCGUCACACCACGAGAGUUUGUAACACCCGAAGUCGGUGAGGUAACCCUUUUGGGAGCCAGCCGCCUAAGGUGGGACAGAUAAUUGGGGUGAAGUCGUAACAAGGUAGCCGUAUCGGAAGGUGCGGCUGGAUCACCUCCUUUCUAAGGAAUUUAACGGAAACCCACACAUUCGUACUUACUUUGUUUAGUUUUGAGAGGUCUAAUCUUCUCAAUGAAAUAAUAUCUUACUGAAGUGCCUAAUAUGUUGGGCCUAUAGCUCAGCUGGUUAGAGCGCACGCCUGAUAAGCGUGAGGUCGAUGGUUCGAGUCCAUUUAGGCCCACUUUCAUUUGCACCUCUAAUAUUAAGAUAUGUUUUGGGGCCUUAGCUCAGCUGGGAGAGCGCCUGCCUUGCACGCAGGAGGUCAGCGGUUCGAUCCCGCUAGGCUCCAUUGCAACUUUUGUUGCAAAAAAAAUACAUUGUUCUUUGAAAACUGGAUAAAGUUAAAAAUUGUCAUUCAAGUAAGAAACCAGAAAGACACCGAAAAUGUUUUAAAAUGAGUUUUUUUAAGGUUCUCAUCGUAAGAUGAGGUUUAAAAUUAACGCUAACCAUAGGUUAAGUUAAUAAGGGCGCACGGUGAAUGCCUUGGCACUAGGAGCCGAUGAAGGACGGGACUAACGCCGAUAUGCUUUGGGGAGCUGUAAGUAAGCUUUGAUCCAAAGAUUUCCGAAUGGGGGAACCCAGCAUCUUUGAUAGGAUGUUACUGCUGACUGGAAUACAUAGGUCAGUAGAGGUAGACGCAGAGAACUGAAACAUCUAAGUACC
rnacentral:misc_RNA from 1 species